rnacentral:rRNA from 1 species
CGCGUGAGGAUCUGCCCAAAGGAUGGGGACAACAGUGGGAAACCGCUGCUAAAACCCGAUGUGCCGAGAGGUGAAAUAUUUAUAGCCUUUGGAUGAACUCGCGUCUGAUUAGCUAGUUGGUGGGGUAAGAGCUUACCAAGGCGACGAUCAGUAGCUGUUCUGAGAGGAAGAUCAGCCACACUGGGACUGAGACACGGCCCAGACUCCUACGGGAGGCAGCAGUGGGGAAUUUUCCGCAAUGGGCGAAAGCCUGACGGAGCAACGCCGCGUGAGGGAGGAAGGCCUGUGGGUCGUAAACCU